CACUUGUUGUGGCAAAGUCAGGAUGGUCGUUUUGAUGCUGGAACAUUGCUGGGACUGUUUUCUAAUUAUAAUUAGAUUCUGUUACUUUUCCAGUGUCAUUAUCAGAGACACAGUCAUGUGUGCUUGCUUUAAAAUGCUGCUGGCCCUGCUAAUUAUUCUGGGCACAAGGGAACUCCACAGGCAGAGGGGAAAUAAUUCCAGUCCCAGGAGCGCCUCCUUCAGAUGGCAUCUCUGAACACAGCCCUACACCAGGACACCUCACUGGGCAUCAUUCCCUGCUCCACAUGGACGCUGGGAAACAGAGCAGUCACACCAAUUCUUUGGACUAAAGUUGUAAAAGGAGCUUUUCAAGGUCAGAAAAGAUCAGAAGAUUGAGUGAUGAUCCCUUGUGAGAAGGCCUGAUACCAGUAGCUUUUCCAAAAGCACUUGUUUUUGCUGACUUUGCCCUGAUUUUUUUGAGGCACUGCUCACUGCUGUUUUUCUGACUAUCUGACUCUGUUCCCAGGGGCACAGGUUGGUUAUG
rnacentral:lncRNA from 12 species